AGUCCAUGAGGGAUUAAAGACCCAUUGUAGAGGAACAUCGGAAAAUUCUUUCCUGAAAAUUCAUUUCUACUGGGGAGAAUGAUGGGAGAAGGUCAGAGAGCUUUCUGCUUCUGGCAGUUCCUCAAUUGUCAGUUCAAAGUGAGACUAAUGUACACUGGAUGGUGGCACACAAAUCUUUAAGACUCUUGAGGGGACAGAGUUGACCAGAGAGAUGACUGUGAUGAUUAGCAGGAAGAUGAUUCCAGGAGAUUACAGUGCAAUCCUUCACAAGAACGCAACGGAGCUCAACUGAUCAAAUUGAAAAAAAUCAAAUCUCCGGCUAUGCUGGAAGACCAAUCACCAAAUCCAGGUUAUUUUGCAGAGAGAAAGCUAUUACAAGGAGAUCAGGAGCAGAAGCAGAGGAGUCACAUAAAUUCAACUUGUCAUGGAAUAGCUCCUUCUCUAACAACAAGCCUUGAGAUAAGAAAGCAAUAGUCAUUGUACAAAUAAGUUAAU